ensembl:lncRNA
UAAAUAAAUGAAUAAAUAUGAAUGGGUGUUAUUUGUUUUUUAGGGUAUUUGCAUCUGUACUUUGGACCAUCCUUCUGGACAUUAGGAAAGGGAACGAUGUGCACAUGUGCAGCACGAUCACGUUACACCGACUAACCAAGAAACAGGGAUCAAACUGUCACACGAUGACUGCUGCAUCAUCUGUCUCUAUUCCUGUGUACGACAUGCCUUCCAGUCCUCUUCUCCAUGUCAGGAAGGUGCCCGAUCUGAGAAGCUCUCACUGUGUUCAAGGCGGUGUGUUUAGCUCUAGAUGCAGACUGGGCCAGAUGGGUGCUGGACCAGUUCCUCGCUCAGGUAAAACAUUUGUGUUUUAAGCUAUGAAGAUGAUAUUUAAAGCCUCAAUGUGUCAGAUUUACUUCCACCAAUGGUAUACCACAAUACAUGUUCUAGUGUUUCUCCUGCUCCUCUCACAGAAUACAGAACUCUUAAGUUUUAUUGUGGAGCAAACUAAUCAUGAAAGAUGGCAUAUCUGUGGAUGAUAAACCUGAGUUUAUUAAUAGACAACAUGAAAUGUUACACACAGGGGCUUUAAUUCACAACACUUGGUUGAUCUGUUUAGCUUCUGUAGGUGUUAAUGCACAAUGCUUUUAAUAAAAUGUUAAUUUUUCAGCUGCACAUACUGGCGUUACUGGAAGAGACGAGGGAGCAACAGAUGCUGCUGCUGUCACUAACCUAGCCCCACAGAUUGUUGUCUGAUGCUCCUGUGGCUGAAAUGCUGCACACCAUCAACACCCCACUGAUGACCAUGUCUGACGGUGAGGAACUGGAGGAGUGGCUUAAAGAUCCCAGCACUGGUGUUGGAGGGCAGAUCGACUGGAAGGAUGUGAAUGGGAAGAAGAGUUCCAAGGAUUUGCAGAGCAUCUGUUUGUUGAUCACAGCAGUCUGGAACAACCAUGCAGCUGAUUCCUGUGCUGGUUCGGUCUUGCUUCUGACCGUGGAGGUGGCUGGAAAGAGAGCAGCCAGAGAGGCCAUUUCUGAGACGGUGAAGUGGGCGUCAGAGGCUGCAGCUGUGCUAUAUCAUGGAUGGAAGGAAGACAUUUAUCUCUCUUAGAAAUGUUCCGAGCACCAAGGCCUCCGCUAAUGCACUGAUUGUGUGUUGAUUGAUUAAUCACCUUUUCUGAGACUUGCAAAGAAAAACGUUCACGUGUAAAACUGGCAAAGGAGUCAAGUAACCAGAUACAAUACUUACUAUACUUAAGUACAUUUUUGAGUAUAUAUCACUGAAGUAAUUACUCGACUUUUACUACUACUUUAAUUUUCACACAAUUAUUUGUACAUUUUACUCCUUACAUUUUAAAAACAGCUUCAUUCCUUGUCGGCUACUUGUCAUUGCUGUCUAUUAUUAUUAAACAAAAUGCAAACCCAGGUUAAUUGCACCAUCCAGAUGGAGUGAAUUUGUUCCAUUUGAAUGAUAAAUCUACCAUUCUCCCAACCUACUGGUUUGUACCAUUCCCAUAGGAUUCUUUGAUUUAAAUGGUAAAUGGCCUGUAUUUGAUAUAGCGCCUUCUAGAGUUCUUGAAACCCCUCAAGGCGCUUUACAACACAAUCAGUCAUUCACCCAUUCACACACACACAUUCACACACUGGUGAGGAUGAGCUACAAUGUAGCCACAGUUGCCCUGGGGCGCACUGACAGAGGCGAGGCUGCCGAGCACUGGCGCCACCGGUCCCUCCGACCACCACCAGCAGGCAACGUGGGUUGAGUGUCUUGCCCAAGGACUCAACAACAGCGACAGACUGAGCGGGGCUCGAACCUGCAACCUUCCGAUUACAGGGCGAGCGCUUAACUCCUGUGCCAUUGUCUCCCCCAAAUUUGCACUGUACUAAAAUGCAUUAAUUUGUGAUGGGUGCACAUGUGACUAACAGGUAGCAUAAGAAAAUACUGAUACUGAAAUAUCACAAUAUUGUGUGUUAUGAAACUAAACCAAUAUUUAAAGUAACACCAAAGAGGUUUCAACAAAUUAUUCCUUUUAAAGUGAUUUUCAGUGAUUCUUGAGGUAGAAACUUUACCAACUUUACUCUGCAGCCCUCUGCUGACCACUGCACUUAUUUACCAUUCUUACCAGGGACAAGUAGGUUCACUAGGUGGAGCUCUCUAGCUGCUUUACAACUGUUAGCUAUUUACUCUGCUGAUAGCUAAUAUAAAGGCCAGCAGUUAGCUUUAUAGUUCACCGACCAUCGGAAAUAGCACAAGGAAAAGGUUGAAUUUUCGAAUUUUCAGUCUCACCAAACUGUCGUCGUCAUGAGUUUAGCGGGCUUCAAAUCCUUCUUUCAGGUAAAAGAAGGAACAAUAAAUGUGGAGAAAAUCACUUUAAAUCUGGCCAUGUGGUAAGCAGCAGAUACGCUGAGGGAGAAGAGAUUCUAUUGUACUAUGACAUCAAAUGCAACUUCUGAUCUGUAGUCUGUUCAAUUGCAAAUUUUAAAGUAUGUGACAGAUAUAGAUGAAAGACACAAUUACUUUUCAUUUAAACUGAAGAACAACGUAUGUGUGGUUCAGGGCAUAAGGCAGAGUUAUUCAGGGCCUGGAGGGCCACUAUCCAGCACAUUUUAGUGGUUCCUCUGCUCCAACACACUUGAUUCAGUGGUUGAAUCACCUGUGUAGCAGCUCCUCAGGUUCUGCAGAAGCCUGUUAAUCACCUGCUGAUUGAAACAGAGUUAAGACUAAAACCCACUGGCCCUCCAGGCCCAGAAUUGAUUAACCCUGGCAUAAGGCAAAGCAGAGUAGAAAAUAGAGUUUGUAGCAUCAUUCACUUUCAUUCAUUUUCUCUGUAUUCUGGGGACCCAUGAGCCGACCGGUGGGGGAGGACACUCAGGCUUCCUAUACUGGAUGUGUCUUUAAAGUGUCCUGAUUUUUCCAAGUGACAAAUAUCAACUGG